rnacentral:lncRNA from 1 species
AGGAGUCAACAUAGUGAAAAGGUUAGCUUCCAUGCUCAGCUCGACAUUCCUAUUGUGUUUGUUAUUGAUACUAACUAACUUUGUUUUUUUUGUCUGUUUCGAGAUGCAUCGUUUUAUCAUGGCACCAUUAGAGUACAGUCAAGUUCUUCCUAUAUAACUGGUAAGCUACACUGUUCUUUAGUUUUUUUUGGGUGACACUGAUAUUGUGUUUGUUAUUGGUAUUAACUUUGUUAUUAUCUUUGUCCUGCAACGAGAUGCAUCCAACUUGUUCCUAUAUAACUGGUAAGCUGCACUAUUCUUUAGUCUCUCUUUUUUUUUAAUUUGGAGUGGAGUUUGCCUCAGCUUUAUCUGUAUUGAGGAUUCUUCUGUGAAUUUCUCAUUGGGGGUUUUCAGACUAGCCAGAUUCCGGCAUCCUUCAAAGGGUGGCUGCUCCUGAGUUGGGAUUUCAGGUAUGCCAUUCUUCUGGAAUAGCUGGAGUUUACUUUCUUGACUUGAACUAUAGAGCAAAACCCCUUUGGCUGUAGAAUUGUUACUUCUGAUUAUGAGUGUUUCUUUGUUUUGCAGAUGUGAACUGUUUGUGGUCUAAAUGAAACUAUGGACAUGGUUGACCACAUAACAUCAAACACCGAGACGCUUGGGUUCGAUCUGCAUAUUGGUUUCAGGCCACAUAUUCUUAAGCAGGUAAUAGGAGUUAGUUGCAUAAAUUCUGUUAGUCUUCUGAAUCAGUUUUAGCUCCUAAUUUGGCAGUUCUCUGACUGAAGCGUUCUGCAUAGCCAUUUUACAAGUCAGAAUUCGUGUUGAGGGUGUUGCUUAGCCGGGGCUCACAAGAUGCAGAGGAUGAAGAUGAAGUUGAAUCCCGUUCAAAAACAAGACACAAACACAAAGUGGAAAAAAGUAUAAGACGAAGUUUCUAUUCUAUUGUUGUCCUCACUUUGCUCUUUGCCAGUUUCUUUGACCUUCACUGCUGUUCUUUACAGAGAAACAAGGUGAAUGAAGUUGAUUCGAGUUCAAAAAGUGCUCCAAUAAUUGUUCAGCAUGUUUUGCAGGAUGAAUUUCAGAGGUAAUGAAUGUUAUCAUUCAUUUGUCGUGGAACUGUGCUAUAAACUUUUCCAGAAGUUGUUUCUUCUGAUGUUUGCAAAUUGUGUCUCUUCCAUUGCUGCGUGGUACUGGCAUCUUUGCUACCAUUCCCAUUUGCAUCAAACUGAAGCUUUUAAUAUCUCUUUUCAGAUGGGAUGUGCAGCUAGCAGCAGAACAGACACUGUCUCGAAUGCCGUCGAAAAAGACCGUCCGGUGACAGACUUGAUCUACACAUAUAAUAAUAAGAUUACAGCUGUGUAUUAUGGUUGACGUUAGCAUCAAUAUUGGUUAGCAUAAUGAUGAAUGUUGUAAAGAUAUGGUUGUAAGGCAAAAAUAUGAUUUGGUCUAAAAAAACAUUAAGGUUGAUUAUGUCACCCCAGUACGUCGUCCCCUACACAAAAAUUAGACUAAGGGCUGGCAAUUUGGUUUAACUGAAUUUGUCAU